UACGGAGGGUGCGAGCGUUGUCCGGAAUCACUGGGCGUAAAGGGCGCGUAGGCGGCGCGGGCAGUCAACGGUGAAAGCUUGGGGCUCAACCCCGAGUCGGCCGUCGAUACUCCCGUGCUUGAGCACUGUAGAGGCAGGUGGAAUUCCGGGUGUAGCGGUGGAAUGCGUAGAGAUCCGGAAGAACACCGGUGGCGAAGGCGGCCUGCUGGGCAGUAGCUGACGCUGAGGCGCGACAGCGUGGGGGAGCAAACAGG
rnacentral:rRNA from 1 species